AAUUACUUCAGAUGAACAAAAGAUGAGCUAACAUUAUCUCCAGUGGUCUUGCAAAGCCCCUCUGGGUAACUUUCUAUGUUUGCAUCCAAUUUAUCCAAGAGUAUAACGCUCCCUUUAAUGGUCUUUUAAUGUUAUCCAGUUCCAAGUGUAUGGGUUAUUAAAAACCUUCCCUUAUAUCCUUUAUACUCUGUAAUUUAUACUCUCCCCAGUAAAACAGAUGACCACUGGAGAAAAUCCAGGCAUUGUCUGUCAUUUUCCAAGCAUUUUAGGUCACUUUAUGGUGAGGAUAUCCUCUCUCCACUCACAGAUGUUAUUUACUGUAUGCACUUGGGACUGAAUGACAAACCUGUAUCUCCAAAACUUAAGCAUUAUGGUGUGGACAAGCUGAGGCACAGUCAUACAGCAUUAGCCAAUUGUCAACACAUUUAAAAGUCUCACUCUGACGUUUAAUCUGAAGUUUCGCAUUUAACACAUCACACACAGGACUUCAAACUGAGUUUGGCUCAUGUCUCAUCUUCCAUACUAAGCUAUAAGCGUGGAUGAUUUCAAGAGGUUUGGUUAUUUGCAGACCUGGCAUCAUGAGUAUUUGCUUUUCUCUCAAAAUGAAAAAGCUGCCAUUGAAAAGAAGCUUAAGAAGCAGAAGCCAGCAGAACCUACAACCAUGGAGAUGGAUGCUCCUUGCUCACCAUGGCAGAAGAAUCCAGCAGAUGGUACUUUUAAAAGGUUCUGCUAUAGCAGUAUGGCUCCUUUGGUGCUGGAGGCCAGCAGAAGAUGAGCAGUGUUUUGGACGUCAGCCUACAGAGCAAGAGAGAGGCAGAUGCUAUCCCUGGAUUAGAUUCCCAGUUGACCGUGGCAGAUGAAUAAGAUGAAGAAGUAUAAACUGGAGUUCUUUCUCUCUUCUCAACAGCUGCAUUUGUGUUGCAAAUUCCUCCCCGCUGAGAAAUGCUUAUAAUAGGAGAAAUCAGUUGGACAGCAGUGAGGUUCAUGCCAGCGAACAACUGAAAGGUCUGUUUUCAUAGAUUUCCUUUUGUGAAUAUUAAAACGAGACCUAGUGAAAAAUGAUGCGUGCUUUUACACUUUAGAAACCUGGCAACUAGGGGAAAAACCCUCUCAAGUCCAUCCUGUCGAACAAAAGGCGGUCGACGCAUUGAGCAAAGAUGCAACGAGUUCUGCGUCCGAGGCACAUGACGUGCAUCAUGGAAACAUAUUGUAUCGAAAUCGUUUGUGGGAGAAUACCGGGGAUGAAAAAGAAUGGGGCGCUUUGAUCCGCGCCCUGGGGUCCCGAGCUCCCCGAGUGCGUGCCGACUGACUGCAAGGCCUUAUUCACUUUCAGAUAGACACACUUACAAACGCCACUGAAUGAAAUUUGCAUAUUUGUAAUUUAUCACAUUUAGCCCGACUUUUCUGUCUCUUUGCGGAAGGUGGAAGUUUGAAUAAAAAAGUGGAUCAAUUAUCAACGCGAAGCUGUUCCCUUCUCAUAGGAAGAAGGCUGUCUUGGAAAAUUAGAAAAGUAGUUGUUGUUGUUAGAAAAAAAAAAUAGAAAGGAAACUGAAACUGAUGAAAAAGUAUGAUUUUUUUUUGCAUUAAAAACAAAACACUACUUUUAA
rnacentral:lncRNA from 12 species